GGGACGAGCGCCUUUAUUAGACCAAGACCAAUCGGGCCUCGGUCCGUUUCCUUUGGUGAGUCUGAAUAACCUUUUGAAGAUCGCACGGUCUCGAACUGGCGACGCAUCUUUCAAAUGUCUGCCUUAUCAACUGUCGAUGGUAGGUUAUGUGCCUACCAUGGUUGUAACGGGUAACGGAAAAUCAGGGUUCGAUUCCGGAGAGGGAGCCUGAGAAACGGCUCCUACAUCCAAGGAAGGCAGCAGGCACGCAAAUUACCCACUCCCGGCACGGGGAGGUAGUGACGAAAAAUAACGAUGCGGGACUCUUCCGAGGCCCCGUAAUCGGAAUGAGUACACUUUAAAUCCUUUAACGAGGAUCAAUUGGAAGGCAAGUCUGGUGCCAGCACCUGCGGUAAUUCCAGCUCCAAUAGCGUAUACUAAAGUUGUUGCGGCUAAAAAGCUCGUAGUUGGAUUUCAGUCGUAGGCCGGUGGUCCACCACCCGGUGGCUACUGCCUUGGCCUAGGCACCUUGCCGGCUCUCCCGCGAUGCUCUUGACCGGGUGUCGCGGGUGGCCGGAACGUUUACUUUGAAAAAAUUAAAGUGCUCCAAGCAGGCGCUACGGCCUGAACAACACAGCAUGGAAUAAUGGAACAGGACCUUGGUUCUGUUUUGUUGGUCUUCGGAACCCGAGGUA
rnacentral:rRNA from 1 species